UCUCUUUUUCUCGAUGAGCCGGUGCGGCAGUUUGUAGGUCUCCUGCAAGGCGCACGGCGGGGCGGUGGGCGCCAGAGGAAGCGGGGUCAUGAUCACAUAAGGGGUUACAGUCUACAUUAAAGACAAACAGAUGGCUAUGUACACCACAACCUGGCACAUGGCCUCACCAUUAGUGUGUUCAGAAAGUUUGCUGACCUGUCCAAGAUGGCUACAGUCCCAGCCGACAUCCAGGAAGCAGAAUGCCCAGCUGAAGCAAAUCAACCCACAGAAUCCUGAGCAAUAAUCAAAUAGUUUGCUGUCUUAAAUCAUUAAGUUUUGAGAUGGAUUAUUACGCAGCAACAAUUGA